CCACCGCCCGUCACACCAUGGGAGUUGGUUUCACCCGAAGGCAGUGCGCUAACCGCAAGGAGGCAGCUGACCACGGUGGGAUCAGCGACUGGGGUG
rnacentral:rRNA from 1 species